GUGGGGAAUAUUGGACAAUGGGCGAAAGCCUGAUCCAGCCAUGCCGCGUGUGUGAAGAAGGUCUUCGGAUUGUAAAGCACUUUAAGUUGGGAGGAAGGGCAGUAAGUUAAUACCUUGCUGUUUUGACGUUACCGACAGAAUAAGCACCGGCUAACUUCGUGCCAGCAGCCGCGGUAAUACGAAGGGUGCAAGCGUUAAUCGGAAUUACUGGGCGUAAAGCGCGCGUAGGUGGUUUUGUAAGUUGGAGGUGAAAUCCCCGGGCUCAACCUGGGAACUGCCUCCAAAACUGCAUGACUUGAGUACGGUAGAGGGUAGUGGAAUUUCCUGUGUAGCGGUGAAAUGCGUAGAUAUAGGAAGGAACACCAGUGGCGAAGGCGACUACCUGGACUGAUACUGACACUGAGGUGCGAAAGCGUGGGGAGCAAACAGGAUUAGAAACCCGUGUAGUCC
rnacentral:rRNA from 1 species